rnacentral:tRNA from 1 species
UCCCUGGUGGUUGAGUGGUCAAGACUUUGCCUUCCAAUGCAGGGGAUGUGGGUUUGAUCUCUGCUCAGGGAG